GCCCUGGCCCUUGGGAUCUCUGGGACCAGGCCUGGACCCUCGAAAGGGCGCGGCUGAUCCUGCCUAGGGGCUUGCUCUUGGCCGCCACUUCUCCUAGGCGGACUCCUCUAAUCCAUAUGACAGCUUGAAGGCAGAGUUUGUCCUGCCAUCCCUGCGCCCCCACCCGCAGGACCUGGCCCUGCAGCAUCUCAGGGAAGGCAGCAGAGUUGAUCUGGUGCUU
rnacentral:lncRNA from 1 species